rnacentral:rRNA from 1 species
UACAGAGGUCCCGAGCGUUGCUCGGAUUCACUGGGCGUAAAGGGUGCGCAGGUGGGUUGGCAAGUUUGAUGUGAAAGCCCCGGGCUUAACCCGGGAAAGGCAUUGAAUACUGCUGAUCUGGAGGAUCGGAGGGGGGACUGGAAUUCUUGGUGUAGCAGUGAAAUGCGUAGAUAUCAAGAGGAACACCAGUGGCGAAGGCGAGUCCCUGGACGAUACCUGACACUGAGGCACGAAAGCCAAGGGAGCAAACAGG